rnacentral:lncRNA from 1 species
ACCAAUUGAGUGGGUGAUGUGGCAAGUGGAGGCCACCUCCACAUAGAUUAAAAAAUAAUUAAAUAUUUUAAUAACUAAAAAUUAAAAAUUAACUUAAAAGAACAACUCAAAAACCUUCUUCCAAUCCUCUCAUCUAUGCACCCCAAACCCAACCCACACCCAUCUACAGCCACCAUCACUCCACCAUCUCUUUUCACAAACCCAACCUAACCCACCACCAUACUAUCCUUUUCCGCAAACCCAACCCCACCCAGCACCUUCAACCACUCAGCACGACAAUGGAUUGAGCUUGCCCCCAAAAACCCCCAAAUCAAAAUUUUCCAAAAUGAAGAAGUCGAUAGCGUCGGGGUGGGGUCAAGAUCUGAUUUUCUGGGGUUGACCCGAGCAGAUCUUGGGAUGGGGCACGAUUGUUUUGGAGUCAAAGUUGUAUGAGCCAAUUUUGGGUUUUUAAAUUGUAUGCACUUGUAGACUGCCAUUGUUGUGUUGGUCUCUUAUGUUCUCUUUGGUGCCGCAGUCAUCUCAUUUUUGUCCUUUUUUUUUGUUCAUUCUGCUAUGGUGUUUGUGUUCUUCAACAAAUGAGAAAGUGAGAGAAAGAAUGUAGAGAGAGAGAUAGAGAUGGGAGAGAGUUGGGGGGAGAGAGAGAGAGAGAGAGAGAGCUGUGAAGAGAGAAAAAUCAAGAGGGGGGAGCAGGCCAUUGUUGUGUUGGUCUUCUAUGUUCUCUCUGGUGCCGCAGUCAUCUCCUUUUUGUCCUUUUUUUUCGUUCAUUCUGCUAUGGUGUUUGUGUUCUUCAACAAAUGAGAAAGUGAGAGAAAUAGUGCAGAGAGAGAGAUAGAGAGAUAGAGAUGGGAGAGAGCUGGGGGGAGAGAGAGAGAGAGAGAGCUGGGAAGAGAGAGAGAUCAAAGGGGGGAGGGGGGAGUGGAAUUUGGAGGGGAAGGAGGAGGAGGGAGAUAUGAAGGGGAGAUGAUGACUUGCAUGUUUUUUU